rnacentral:rRNA from 1 species
GACGAACGCUGGCGGCGUGCUUAACACAUGCAAGUCGAACGGAAAGGCCCUGCUUCUGUGGGGUGCUCGAGUGGCGAACGGGUGAGUAACACGUGAGUAACCUGCCCUUGACUUUGGGAUAACUUCAGGAAACUGGGGCUAAUACCGGAAAGGAGCUCAUGCUGCCUGGUGGGGGUUGGAAAGUUUCGGCGGAUGGGGAUGGACUCGCGGCUUAUCAGCUUGUUGGUGGGGUAGUGGCUUACCAAGGCUUUGACGGGUAGCCGGCCUGAGAGGGUGACCGGCCACAUUGGGACUGAGAUACGGCCCAGACUCCUACGGGAGGCAGCAGUGGGGAAUAUUGCACAAUGGGCGGAAGCCUGAUGCAGCAACGCCGCGUGCGGGAUGACGGCCUUCGGGUUGUAGACCGCUUUCGCCUGUGACGAAGCGUGAGUGACGGUAAUGGGUAAAGAAGCACCGGCUAACUACGUG